CCGAGUUUACAACUCCCAAACCCCUGUGAACAUACCACUUGUUGCCUCGGCGAUCAGCCCGCUCCCGGUAAAACGGGACGGCCCGCCAGAGGACCCCUAAACUCUGUUUCUAUAUGUAACUUCUGAGUAAAACAAAACCAUAAAAUAAAUCA
rnacentral:misc_RNA from 1 species